UACGUAGGUGGCAAGCGUUGUCCGGAUUUACUGGGCGUAAAGGGCGUGCAGGCGGUCUGUUUAGUCUAGGGUGAAAGCUCCCGGCUCAACUGGGAGAGGUCCUUGGAUACUGGCAGACUUGAGGGAGGCAGAGGAAAGUGGAAUUCCCGGUGUAGUGGUGAUAUGCGUAGAUAUCGGGAGGAACACCGGUGGCGAAGGCGGUUCUCUGGGCCUUACCUGACGCUGAGGAGCGAAAGCGUGGGGAGCGAACAGG
rnacentral:rRNA from 1 species